rnacentral:rRNA from 1 species
UACAGAGGGUGCAAGCGUUAAUCGGAGUUACUGGGCGUAAAGGGUGCGUAGGUGGUUGUAUAAGUUGGAUGUGAAAUACUUGGGCUUAACCUGGGGACUGCAUUCAAUACUGUAUGACUAGAGUAAGGUAGAGGGAGGCGGAAUUUCCGGUGUAGCGGUGAAAUGCGUAGAUAUCGGAAGGAACACCAGUGGCGAAGGCGGCCUCCUGGACCUAUACUGACGCUGAGGCACGAAAGCGUGGGGAUCAAACAGGAUUAGAUACCCGUGUAGU